GAGUUUGAUCAUGGCUCANNUUUNACGCUGGCGGCAGGCCUAACACAUGCAAGUCGAACGGUAACAGGAUGUGCUUGCACAUCGCUGACGAGUGGCGGACGGGUGAGUAAUGCUUGGGAACUUGCCUUUGCGAGGGGGAUAACAGUUGGAAACGACUGCUAAUACCGCAUAAUGUCUUCGGACCAAACGGGGCUUCGGCUCCGGCGCAGAGAGAGGCCCAAGUGAGAUUAGCUAGUUGGUGAGGUAAAGGCUCACCAAGGCGACGAUCUCUAGCUGUUCUGAGAGGAAGAUCAGCCACACUGGGACUGAGACACGGCCCAGACUCCUACGGGAGGCAGCAGUGGGGAAUAUUGCACAAUGGGGGAAACCCUGAUGCAGCCAUGCCGCGUGUGUGAAGAAGGCCUUCGGGUUGUAAAGCACUUUCAGUUGUGAGGAAAAGUUAGUAGUUAAUACCUGCUAGCCGUGACGUUAACAACAGAAGAAGCACCGGCUAACUCCGUGCCAGCAGCCGCGGUAAUACGGAGGGUGCGAGCGUUAAUCGGAAUUACUGGGCGUAAAGCGCACGCAGGCGGUUUGUUAAGCUAGAUGUGAAAGCCCCGGGCUCAACCUGGGAUGGUCAUUUAGAACUGGCAGACUAGAGUCUUGGAGAGGGGAGUGGAAUUCCAGGUGUAGCAGUGAAAUGCGUAGAUAUCUGGAGGAACAUCAGUGGCGAAGGCGACUCCCUGGCCAAAGACUGACGCUCAUGUGCGAAAGUGUGGGUAGCGAACAGGAUUAGAUACCCUGGUAGUCCACACCGUAAACGCUGUCUACUAGCUGUUUGUGAUUUUAAUCGUGAGUAGCGAAGCUAACGCGCUAAGUAGACCGCCUGGGGAGUACGGCCGCAAGGUUAAAACUCAAAUGAAUUGACGGGGGCCCGCACANNCGGUGGANCAUGUGGUUUAAUUCGA
rnacentral:rRNA from 1 species